UGGGGAAUCUUGCGCAAUGGGCGAAAGCCUGACGCAGCCAUGCCGCGUGAAUGAUGAAGGUCUUAGGAUUGUAAAGUUCUUUCGCCCGUGACGAUGAUGACGGUAACGGGAGAAGAAGCCCCGGCUAACUUCGUGCCAGCAGCCGCGGUAAUACGAAGGGAGCUAGCGUUGUUCGGAAUCACUGGGCGUAAAGCGCACGUAGGUGGGCAGUUAAGUCAGGGGUGAAAGCCCGAGGCUCAACCUCGGAAUUGCCUCUGAUACUGGCUGUCUAGAGUUCGAGAGAGGUGAGUGGAAUUCCUAGUGUAGAGGUGAAAUUCGUAGAUAUUAGGAAGAACACCGGUGGCGAAGGCGGCUCACUGGCUCGAUACUGACACUGAGGUGCGAAAGCGUGGGGAGCAAACGGGAUUAGAUACCCAAGUAGUCCCUGAGCGGGCUGGCAAGGCGCAU
rnacentral:rRNA from 1 species